rnacentral:rRNA from 1 species
UGUCAGCAGCCGCGGUAAUACGGAGGAUCCAAGCGUUAUCCGGAAUCAUUGGGUUUAAAGGGUCCGUAGGCGGCUUAAUAAGUCAGUGGUGAAAGCCCUACGCUUAACGUAGGAACGGCCAUUGAUACUGUUAGGCUUGAAUUAUUAGGAAGUAACUAGAAUAUGUAGUGUAGCGGUGAAAUGCUUAGAGAUUACAUGGAAUACCAAUUGCGAAGGCAGGUUACUACUAAUUGAUUGACGCUGAUGGACGAAAGCGUGGGUAGCGAACAGGAUUAGAUACCCUGGUAGUCCACGCCGUAAACGAUGGAUACUAGCUGUUGGGCGCAAGUUCAGUGGCUAAGCGAAAGUGAUAAGUAUCCCACCCGGGGAGUACGUUCGCAAGAAUGAAACUCAAAGAAAUUGACGG